rnacentral:rRNA from 1 species
GCUGUUAAAAAGCUCGUAGUUGGAUCAAGAGUCGGACAGUGCACGGUGGCUCCAUUAGCCAGUUUGGCUCCGGUCAUAUUGGCGGUGGCGGAUCAACCCCGUGCGCCAAACUGUCCGCUCUAACAGACCGAAACGGUUCCCUGUGAGUAGGCCCCUUCAUUGGGGUCGAAAGCGCCUACGCAUCAACCAUAUGCAUACGGGACGUCGGUCAAAGUUACUGUGAACAAACCAGCGUGUCCAAAGCAGGCUUUCGCCUGAAUGUUCGAGCAUGGAAUAACAAGGGAUCGAUUCUCUCGGUUCUUUUUGUUGGUUUUUAACCCGAGAAGGAGUAAUUCAGGCCACGGUGUCUGAGUUGGGUUUCCCGAGACUUCGGCUGAGGCCCCAAUUAGGCCGUGUCCUUACGGGAUCAAUAGGGACUGACGGGGUCGUACGUACUUCCGCGUCAGAGAGUGAAAUUCUUAGAUCGCGGGAAGACGAACUUCUGCGAAAGCAUUCGACAAGAAUGUCUUCAUUAAUCAAGAACGAGAGUGUGGGGAUCGAAGAUGAUCAGAUACCGUCGUAGUCCACUACUGUA